AGAGCUAACCCCCCGUUAGAGCUUCUAACUCUGAUUAAAGCGUUUAAUCGUUUUUAGCUC
rnacentral:tRNA from 1 species